ACCAUUACAAAGCGGUAUGUUCUGGAACUAAACUUGUCCAAAAACCAAAGCUAUCAAUCGGAAGUAGAACUAACGUCGCUAAACAAUUGUGGGCGCGGAACAUCUAAAGAAAAAUUCCAGGAAAUUGGACUGGUUUCCAAUUGUUACGGAGAUUUAUGACUGAAACUGAAGUUUUGGAGCAUCAUGUGACAUUGUUAGACGAUUUCACAGUUAUUGCAGAUUAUUUAUAAUCUUCCUAGAAUUUCGAUUUGUUGUGAAAGCUUGUCGCACUUUGUUUGUUACAAUAAUAACUGCUACAGUUGCAACUAUAAUGCAACAAAUGUCGUGGGCCCGAACCAAUCGGAAGAUGUGACUUUCUGACUGUUCAAGGAGAACAGAAAAGUAGCUGAAUCAGGAGCGGCCCUUCCAGUUUGCCGGGCUGGCCCUGCCUCUGGUUUCGCCACUAUUAGAAGGAAAAGCGCUCACUCACCUUCUUCCGCCCUUAGCCACAGCAGCAGCGGCACAGCCAGCCCGUACUCAGCGCGCUGACGUUACAGACCUCAGGCGGAGCCAGCUCACUGCAAACAGCUGAGUCUCAACCAUACUGGCAGUUCUUGUCGAGGAAUAUGGACAUGGCAGAGCAGUUGUUGCAGGCAGAAAAUCAUGUGAUCACUCUAGGAACAUGUCUAACCAGAGGUUCACGUAUCACAAGGUUAAGAAGCAGGCAGAUGAUCUGCUCAUCAGCCUCAACUGAUGAAACUUGGUAAACAGUUGCUCAUGAGUAAUCAAACAGGAUACAGAACGAUUCAUCUUACUUUCUCUCCCGCCCCAGCCCCCAUGUGAAGUUGCCUGUGUAGCCCUGACAAAUAUUGGAACAGGUUCAAGCCUCCAUAAGGGUGUUAUUAUACGAACAUAGUUAUCAUGCACAGCCUUCUGCUCGGUCAGUAAUAUAACAUAGGUACCAUAUCAAAGUAGUAAACUCUAUUCUACAAUAUUUAUAUGGAUUUGGUAGAUGAAUUGGACUUAUUUAUUUAUGGCUAAAACAGGACAGUUCUUGUGAAAAAAAGAAUGCAUGUACUGCUAAACUAAAUAAUAUUCAAAAUAAGCGAAAUGCUCAGGUGCCAUUCUGUAUUUUGAAUUCAAGCCAUUUACAUUUGAUAAAAAAAAAUUAUUUAUGUAACUUCAAUCAAUUUUGCAGAAGCUUUUCAUGACCAUUAAAACAAAUGACACUUA